rnacentral:lncRNA from 1 species
CUGAUUUUUAUCAAAGGUGUUUCCUAGACAUGGUCAAGCUACAUGGAAGGAUUUGCUGAUAGACAGAGACGACAUGUGGUGAGGUCAUCUUGGCUGAGGGAUCUGAGAUUCAGAAAGUCCCUCUUUCCCAUGGGAGUCUCCUCCAACCUGACCUUAAUCCAGGUCCUACUCAUAUCUGAGAGGCCCUCCCGCCAGGGUAAAUACUGUACUCACUGCAGAAGUGAUUCAUAGUGAGAGAUGGCCGGAAAAAGGCUUGGCCGUGACAACAGUGGCUCACGGGGUGGCCACCGUGACCUUGCAGGGGGAAGGGAAGGAGCUCAUGAAGCCCAUUCCGUCUAGGCCUAAGCUAAUUCUUUUACAGUGGAAUUGUUUUAAUAAUGAAAUUGUAGGCCUGGCGCAGUGGCUCACGCCUGUAAUCCCAACACUUUGGGAGGCCAAAGCAGGCGGAUCACUUAAAGUCAGGAGUUUGAGACUAGCCUGGCCAACAUGGCGAAACCCCGUCUCUACAAAAAAAAAAAAUACAAAAAUUAGCCAGGCAUGGUGGCGGGUGCCUGUAAUCCUAGCUACUCUGGAGGUUAAGUCAGGAGAAUCACUUGAACCUGGGAGGCGGAGGUUGCAGUGAGUCGAGAUCACCCUACUGCACUCCAGCCUGAGCGACAGAUUAAGUCUCCUUCUGGGAGGGGCUGGGGGCAGGAGGGAGAAAAAAAUAGUAUAUACGAGCUGCCAUCAAAAACUGACAAAGUGAACGUGGUUCACUCCCCUGUGUCUAUGGGGCUCCCUCCCUCCCCCUCCCACACCUUCCCAGUUGGUCCCCUGGACUCCUGUAUUUUAGAGGACAGCCUCCUGCUCUCCUGUACCAUGCCUCACUCCCCUCCCCUGCUCGGAGCUUUCUCUUUCAUAGCUCUUAUUACCUCCUGGUGGAUAAAACAAGUGACUGACACAUUAUGUUGGUUAUUUAUUCAUUGCACUCCUCCCUGCAGCAGACGGGAGGGCGCAUGGGAGCAGAAGUCCUCAUCUCCUAGUGCCUUGAGGUGGCCCCAGACCCUAGAACAGUGGCUUUGAUUGGCAUUCGAGAAACAGCUGUUGAAGAGCUGCAUGAAGAAAUGGACAACAGGAGAAAUCUUUUCUUCUUCAGUGAGAAAUUAGGCCCUGAGGAAAAUGCAUGCUAGCCUAACAAAGGCCUGGUCUCUUAAUCCCAGAAACAUGUUCAUACUUGGGCAGAAGAAAACACAGGCAAAGAUAUUCUUUUUAGCAUUGUUUGUAACAGCUGGAAACAGGGAAAGAAGGAAGGAAGGAAAGGAGGGAAAGAAAAGCAAAAUAAAUAUUCAUUAACCAGGGAAAGGGAAAAUGAACUUAAAAUACAAUGCAGUCGUCCCUUAGUACCCCUGGGGGACUGGUUUCAGGACCCCCCACCCAGGGAUGCCAAAAUCCACAAAUGCUCAAGUCCCUGGUAUAAAAUGACAUAGUGCGCAGAAACCACGUGCAUCCUCUCCUACACUUUAACCAUCUCUAGGUUAGUUAUAAUACCUGAUGCAAUACCUACACCUCAUUUCAUUCUGCAGAUUCUACAUAGUACUUGACUUGCGGCACACCCAAGUUUUGAUCUUUAAGAUGUUGUAAAUAAGAUUUUAAAAUACUUUUUUUUUUUGAGACAGAGUCUUGCUCUGUCGCCCAGGCUGGAGUGCGGUGGCAUGAUCUCAGCUUACUGCAACCUCCACCUCCCAGGUUUAAGUGAUUCUCCUGCCUCAGCCUCCUGAGUAGCUGGGAUUACAGGCAUGUGCCACCACGCCCAGCUAAUUUUUGUGUUUUUAGUAGAGACAGGGCUUCACCAUGUUGGCCAGGCUGGUCUCGAACUCCUGACCUCAGGUGAUGCACCCGCCUCAGCCUCCCAAAGUGCUGGGAUUACAAGUGUGAGCCACUGUGCCCAGCUGGAUUUUAAAACAGUUUUGAUCUGACAUUACUGGAAUCCAUGGAUGUAGAACCCAUGAAUAUAGAGAAC